UACGGGGGGGGCAAGCGGUUGUUCGGAAUUACUGGGCGUAAAGCGCACGUAGUCGGCUUUGCAAGUCGGGUGUGAAAUCCCCGGGCUCACUGGAACUGCAUCCGAGACUGCAUUGCUAGAGUAUGGGAGAGGGAAGCGGAAUUUCUGGUGUAGCAGUGAAAUGCGUAGAUAUCAGAAGGAACAUCAGUGGCGAAGGCGGCUUCCUGGACCAAUACUGACGAUCAGGUGCGAAAGCGUGGGGAGCAAACAGG
rnacentral:rRNA from 1 species